rnacentral:rRNA from 1 species
UACGGAGGGUGCGAGCGUUGUCCGGAAUCACUGGGGGUAAAGGGCGCGUAGGGGGCCUGAUAGGUGGGGGGUGAAAUCCUGCGGCUUAACCGCAGGGCUGCCUUCUAAACUGUCGGGCUAGAGCACGGUAGAGGCAGAUGGAAUUCCCGGUGUAGCGGUGGAAUGCGUAGAGAUCGGGAAGAACAUCAGUGGCGAAGGCGGUCUGCUGGGCCGUUGCUGACGCUGAGGCGCGACAGCGUGGGGAGCGAACAGG